GUUUAAACUUAAGCAAUCAUCAACUUAAUAUACACUACUAUAUGCAUAAAAUGUUAUAUGGUAACCACAAAUCAAAAACCGGU